CAGGGGCUGGAGCCUACAGCUUGUAUGCUGCUGUUUCAGGAGAGGGCUGGCUGAUAGAUGGGUGCUGAGGGGGUCUCUGUCUGCAAGAAACUCUUAAAGCAAAAGGUUUGAAUGCCUAUCGUAGACAAAGUUUUCUCUGAAAAGCUGAGUCGUGUGCCGGACCUGCUUUCCUUCCCCAGAUUUGUGCCCUCUCCCGCCUGGAACACAGAGGCAGAUAUUCCAUUUAUAGGAACAUGAGAACGGCCAGACUGGCUCAGACCCAAGGUCCAACUAGCCCAGCGUCCUGUCUCUGACAGCUGUCCAUGCCAGACGUUGAACAAUCUGCCUUUAGUUCUCAUCCUAGCCCUCUCAUAGUCAGAGAUCGGUGGUUUCGUCUCCCUUCCCAGCUCUUUCUACUGGGGUUAUGCCUGUGCGGACGCAGACGAUCGCUGUUCCGGUGUAAGCCAUCCUCUAGCAACACAUAGAGAACAGCCUAUGUGGAUAAGUCCAACAGAGGAAGCCACAUCACACUCUGCAAGCGUGCUAUAACCCUAAUUGCCAGACGUUACAAGCAACAGGAAAACUGUGGUCUGGGCUGCUGCUUCAGUCCUGUAACGACUGGCCAUGGAGCAUUCUCUCCAGGGCAAGCCGUCCCGGGCCCUAGCAGUGAAGCCGUGCUGGGAAGCUGAUUAGCCUGUAGCCUCUAGCCCCAUCUCACUGCCUCCCCAUCUGUGCCAGGGGAGUGGUGUAGAGUUAACCCCCUGUUUGCCGAACGCAAGGCGGAGCCUCCACACACGCCGAUCUAGGAGGGAGAGAGCGACGGUUCCGUCUCAGAAGUGAUUAAACUAAAAAAUAAAUAAAGUUUCCCCCGAGAGCCCGGACGCACACAGGCGCCCAGUGCAAAUGCUGUUUGGGAAGGAAGCUUCCGGGAAUGUUUAUAUUACAACCAACUCCCUUCCCAGCUCCAGCGCAGCGUGAGCCUGGCCAGACACAGGAAGGGAAACAAACCCAGCCUAGCCAAGUCACUAAAGAGGACUUAAUCUUUACACCUCGCGACACUUCCAGGGUCACCCAGGGGAUACAAGGUUCCACAGAGGGAGGUGGGCUUAGAACCCGCAUCCUCUGCCACUUAAGCUACAGGAGAGCACCUGAGCAUUACAUACCUUAGCCUCUCCCUGGGCCAGGCAUUAGCCAUACUCUCAGCCAGCCAGCCCACAGCACUUCUAGGGAAUGUGCUGUAGAGGCACAAAGGGUUCCUCACAUUCUCGGCACUCGAGAAAACCCGCCAUCUCCCCCCAUGCUUUCGACUCAAUGGCAUCAGAAACGCAGCACAUUCCUCUCAGCAGCGCCGCUGAAGUUCACCCACACGCCGCGUGUAGGUGGCGUAAGUCACACGCGCCAUUUGUUAACAUUAACCAGGACAGGCCAGCAGCUCGCACUAGGAGGCAAACCGAACCCCCAGUCGCUCCAGCGAGACCUCUGCUUAGAAAUCCUGUUACCUACUUAUAGACAGACAGGAUGAAACUCAACCCCCUCCCAGGUCCUUGGCUUUAAGAGCGGGAAAGGAAGAAAACCCAGCAUGCGGCUCCCCUAACGCCCCUUCCCCAGGGCCCCUCUGCACUGCUCACCCAGCUCCCGGAGCAAACGCAGCUUUUGGAGUUAAAGCAGAAACGACCAAAAGAGCCAAAUUUUGCCCUUGGAGUUAGUCACACGUGUCCAGCCCCUACUCAAGUCAAAGGAGCUCCGUGUGUGUCUGUAAUAAACAUACCUUAUCUAGCGUUUU